rnacentral:rRNA from 1 species
UACGUAGGGUGCAAGCGUUGCCCGGAUUUAUUGGGCGUAAAGGGCGCGUAGGCGGCUCUGCACGUUCGUUGUGAAAUCGCCCGGCUCAACUGGGCGGGUCAGCGGAUACGGCAGAGCUUGAGCAAGCUAGGGGGCAAUGGGAAUUCCCGGUGUAGUGGUGGAAUGCGUAGAUAUCAGGAGGAACACCGGUGGUGUAGACGGCUCACUGGACCGUAACUGACGCUGAGACACGAAAGCGUGGGUAGCAAACAGG